AGCGAACGCUGGCGGCAGGCUUAACACAUGCAAGUCGAACGCAUCCUUCGGGGUGAGUGGCAGACGGGUGAGUAACACGUGGGAACGUACCUCUUUGUACGGAAUAGCUUUUGGAAACGAAAGGUAAUACCGUAUACGCCCUUUUGGGGGAAAGAUUUAUCGCAGAGAGAUCGGCCCGCGUCUGAUUAGCUAGUUGGUGAGGUAAUGGCUCACCAAGGCGACGAUCAGUAGCUGGUCUGAGAGGAUGAUCAGCCACACUGGGACUGAGACACGGCCCAGACGCCUACGGGAGGCAGCAGUGGGGAAUAUUGGACAAUGGGGGCAACCCUGAUCCAGCCAUGCCGCGUGAGUGAUGAAGGCCUUAGGGUUGUAAAGCUCUUUUGUCCGGGAAGAUAAUGACUGUACCGGAAGAAUAAGCCCCGGCUAACUUCGUGCCAGCCGCCGCGGUAA
rnacentral:rRNA from 1 species